rnacentral:rRNA from 1 species
GUCUCUGCUCUUCGGGGCAGAGCGCAGUUAUUAGACCAAAACCAGCCGUAUUCUUCGGGGUACGCUCUUUUGGUGACUCUGGAUAACCUUCAGCCGAUCGCAUGGCCUCGUGCCGGCGACGUAUCUUUCAAGUGUCCGCCCUAUCAACUUUCGAUGGUACGUGAUAUGCCUACCAUGGUGAUAACGGGUAACGGGGAAUCAGGGUUCGAUUCCGGAGAGGGAGCCUGAGAAAUGGCUACCACAUCCAAGGAUGGCAGCAGGCGCGCAAAUUACCCACUCCCAGCUUGGGGAGGUAGUGACGAAAAAUAACAAUGCGGGACUCUAAGAGGCCCCGUAAUUGGAAUGAGUACACCUUAAAUCGUUUAACGAGUAUCAAUUGGAGGGCAAGUCUGGUGCCAGCAGCCGCGGUAAUUCCAGCUCCAAUAGCGUAUAUUAAAGUUGCUGCAGUUAAAAAGCUCGUAGUUGGAUCUGGGGCUUGAGGUCGCUGUCUAUCGUUUCGGCGAUGACGGUGAUGCUCAGCUCUGCUUGCCGGUGACUGUUGCGGUGUUCUUCACUGAGCGCUGUAGCAGCACGGCACGUUUACUUUGAAAAAAUUAGAGUGCUCAAAGCGUGCUUGUCGCUUGAAUAAUGUUGCAUGGAAUAAUGGAAUAGGACCUCGGUUCUAUUUUGUUGGUUUUCGGAGCUUGAGGUAAUGAUUAAGAGGGACGAACGGGGGCAUUCGUAUUGCGGUGUUAGAGGUGAAAUUCUUGGAUCGCCGCAAGACGGACUACUGCGAAAGCAUUUGCCAAGAACGCUUUCAUUAAUUAAGAACGAAAGUCAGAGGUUCGAAGACGAUCAGACACCGUCCUAGUUCUGACCAUAAACGAUGCCGACCAGCGAUCCGUAGUGGUUGCUUUAUGGACCCUACGGGCAGCCUCCGGGAAACCAAAGUAUUUGGGUUCCGGGGGAAGUAUGGUUGCAAAGCUGAAACUUAAAGGAAUUGACGGAAGGGCACACCAGGAGUGGAGCCUGCGGCUUAAUUUGACCCAACACGGGAAAACUCACCCGGUCCGGACACCGUAAGGAUUGACAGACUGAUAGCUCUUUCUUGAUUCGGUGGAUGGUGGUGCAUGGCCGUUCUUAGUUGGUGGAGUGAUUUGUCUGGUUAAUUCCGAUAACGAACGAGACUCUAGCCUGCUAAGUAGUGUUGCUAUUGUUAUAUGGUUGACACUUCUUAGAGGGACAAGUGGCAUUUAGCCACGCGAAAUUGAGCAAUAACAGGUCUGUGAUGCCCUUAGAUGUCCGGGGCCGCACGCGCGCUACACUGGAGAAGUCAGCGUGUGUUAUCCAAGUCCGAAAGGACUGGGUAAUCCGUUGAACCUUCUUCGUGCUUGGGACUGUGGCUUA